rnacentral:rRNA from 1 species
UACGGGGGGGCAAGCGUUGUUCGGAAUUACUGGGCGUAAAGGGCGCGUAGGCGGUGCUCUAAGUUAGAUGUGAAAACUCUGGGCUCAACCCAGAGCCUGCAUCUAAAACUGGAGUGCUAGAGUUCUGGAGGGGGUAGCGGAAUUCCUGGUGUAGCGGUGAAAUGCGUAGAUAUCAGGAGGAACACCGGUGGCGAAGGCGGGUCUCUGGGCAACAACUGACGCUGAGGAGCGAAAGCGUGGGGAGCGAACAGG